rnacentral:rRNA from 1 species
GACAGACUCCUACGGGAGGCAGCAGUGGGGGAUAUUGCACAAUGGGGGAAACCCUGAUGCAGCGACGCCGCGUGUGGGAAGACGGUCCUCUGGAUUGUAAACCACUGUCCCCAGGGACGAAGAUGACGGUACCUGGGGAGGAAGCUCCGGCUAACUACGUGCCAGCAGCCGCGGUAAUACGUAGGGGGCAAGCGUUAUCCGGAUUUACUGGGUGUAAAGGGGGCGUAGACGGCGGCGCAAGUCUGGAGUGAAAGCCCGGGGCCCAACCCCGGGACUGCUCUGGAAACUGCGGCGCUGGAGUACGGGAGGGGCAGGCGGAAUUCCUGGUGUAGCGGUGAAAUGCGUAGAUAUUAGGAGGAACACCAGUGGCGAAGGCGGCCUGCUGGGCUUUUACUGACGCUGAGGCUCGAAAGUGUGGGGAGCAAACAGGAUUAGAUACCCCAGUA